UACAGAGGGUGCGAGCGUUAAUCGGAAUUACUGGGCGUAAAGCGCACGUAGGCGGCUUGGUAUGUCGGGUGUGAAAUCCCCGGGCUCAACCUGGGAACUGCAUCCGAAACUGCCUUGCUAGAGUAUGGGAGAGGGAAGUGGAAUUUCCGGUGUAGCGGUGAAAUGCGUAGAUAUCGUAAGGAAGACCAGUGGCGAAGGCGGGUCUCUGGACAGUUCCUGACGCUGAGGCACGAAGGCCAGGGGAGCAAACGGG
rnacentral:rRNA from 1 species